rnacentral:lncRNA from 1 species
AUUUAUAGUAUGCAAAAUUCUCUUCAACACACAAUUAAUUUAUAAUUCAUUGAAUAGCUCUGAUAUUUUGAAUACAGAUAGAUUUAUUAAAAUGCAUGGACUAUAAUUUAAUGGCUGGUUGGUUGGCACUGUUCCUGGUUCCCCAUUGUUGAACUUUAAAAAAUAUGUUUUAAUGAACAAUUACCAUUUUGUAUUCAAAGUGCUCAGUAUUUAGGUAAUAGCUAGAAAAUAUUAAAUUACCUAGAUCAGGUAGAUUUUUGUCUUCUUCUGUUGAUAGAAACUAAGAUAUAUUUCUUCUAAAAUCUAGCUCUGUGAGCAGAGUUUGUUAUUCCUGAACUUGUUCCCACUAUAUCAAGGACCACAAGUACAUUUUCAGCACCAGUCAUGGAUCUUCUCUUCUUCAUAAUCAACAUGGCAUAAUCAGCAGGAUCCAGAGUGCCUGACCUCCAUCACUGGCAGUGCUGUGGAUUCAAUUAAGAUACCUACAAAAGUCCAUUGCUUUUUUUUUCUUCUCCGUGGCUUAUGGUGAUGUUGAUAGACAAGUGAAGUUAAGCCAUGCUUUCUCUCUAUGCCUUCAGCUUUUACUUCUGAAGACAAGCAGUUUUGAAUCUACUAUAGGUAAUUUCUGAAUAUCUUCUUUGUAUAUAUAUAUAAAAUACAACCAGUUAGAAGAUAUACUGCAUUUAUUUUUUUAUUAAUAUAAUUUAUCGUCAAAUUGGUUUCUCAGUAUCUUCUUUUGAAAAGUAGAAGUGUCAAGGGAUGAGCUCUGAAACUUGGAUAAUGGGGAGGACUAAGUUUUCUGAAAAGAAAAUAGCUUUUCUUUUCAAGGAGGGGAGAGGAUAGGUGUUAAAUGGAGCAUUAGAGUUAUUUGAUAAAUAUCCUGUCCCACAAGAACUUAGAGUGGACUAGGAAUAACCUGGUUUUCUCUCUGAAAGAUAUGCAGGAUGAAUUUGGCACAGAGCAGUGAACAGAUACAAUUGGAAUAGAAAAUGAAGCUCUCACAGUGAUUUUGAUAUGUUUUAGACGUUUUUUGGGGGGGGGGGGUAGGCAUUAUAUAAGCCUCUUUAUUCUUCUGGGAUUAUGGGGAGGGGAGAAGAAUCCCUAAUAAUAUCUGUAACUAACAUUUUACCACAUAAGCUUUCUUAAAUCUCUAUUUUUAAAGUACUUGAAAGU